UUAAGCGACUAAGCGUACACGGUGGAUGCCCUGGCAGUCAGAGGCGAUGAAGGACGUGCUAAUCUGCGAAAAGCGCCGGCGAGGUGAUAUGAACCUUUGACCCGGCGAUGUCCGAAUGGGGAAACCCAGUGCAAUCCGUUGCACUAUCGUUAACUGAAUACAUAGGUUAACGAGGCGAACCGGGGGAACUGAAACAUCUAAGUACCCCGAGGAAAAGAAAUCAACCGAGAUUCCCCCAGUAGCGGCGAGCGAACGGGGAGCAGCCCGGAGUCUGAAUCAGCUUGUGUGUUAGUGGAACGGUCUGGAAAGUCCGACGGUACAGGGUGAUAGUCCCGUACACGAAAGCACACUUGCUGUGAACUCGAAGAGUAGGGCGGGACACGUGGUAUCCUGUCUGAAUAUGGGGGGACCAUCCUCCAAGGCUAAAUACUCCUGACUGACCGAUAGUGAACCAGUACCGUGAGGGAAAGGCGAAAAGAACCCCGGCGAGGGGAGUGAAAAAGAACCUGAAACCGUGUACGUACAAGCAGUGGGAGCCUCUUUAUGGGGUGACUGCGUACCUUUUGUAUAAUGGGUCAGCGACUUAUAUUCUGUAGCAAGGUUAACCGUAUAGGGGAGCCGAAGGGAAACCGAGUCUUAACUGGGCGUUAAGUUGCAGGGUAUAGACCCGAAACCCGGUGAUCUAGCCAUGGGCAGGUUGAAGGUUGGGUAACACUAACUGGAGGACCGAACCGACUAAUGUUGAAAAAUUAGCGGAUGACCUGUGGCUGGGGGUGAAAGGCCAAUCAAACCGGGAGAUAGCUGGUUCUCCCCGAAAGCUAUUUAGGUAGCGCCUCGUGAACUCAUCUUCGGGGGUAGAGCACUGUUUCGGCUAGGGGGCCAUCCCGGCUUACCAACCCGAUGCAAACUACGAAUACCGAAGAAUGUUAUCACGGGAGACACACGGCGGGUGCUAACGUCCGUCGUGAAGAGGGAAACAACCCAGACCGCCAGCUAAGGUCCCAAAGUCAUGGUUAAGUGGGAAACGAUGUGGGAAGGCACAGACAGCCAGGAUGUUGGCUUAGAAGCAGCCAUCAUUUAAAGAAAGCGUAAUAGCUCACUGGUCGAGUCGGCCUGCGCGGAAGAUGUAACGGGGCUAAACCAUGCACCGAAGCUGCGGCAGCGACACUAUGUGUUGUUGGGUAGGGGAGCGUUCUGUAAGCCGUUGAAGGUGUGCUGUGAGGCAUGCUGGAGGUAUCAGAAGUGCGAAUGCUGACAUAAGUAACGAUAAAGCGGGUGAAAAGCCCGCUCGCCGGAAGACCAAGGGUUCCUGUCCAACGUUAAUCGGGGCAGGGUGAGUCGACCCCUAAGGCGAGGCCGAAAGGCGUAGUCGAUGGGAAACAGGUUAAUAUUCCUGUACUUGGUGUUACUGCGAAGGGGGGACGGAGAAGGCUAUGUCAGCCGGGCGACGGUUGUCCCGGUUUAAGCAUGUAGGCGGAGGUUCCAGGUAAAUCCGGUACCUUUUAACGCUGAGGUGUGAUGACGAGGCACUACGGUGCUGAAGUGAUAAAUGCCCUGCUUCCAGGAAAAGCCUCUAAGCAUCAGGUAACACGAAAUCGUACCCCAAACCGACACAGGUGGUCAGGUAGAGAAUACCAAGGCGCUUGAGAGAACUCGGGUGAAGGAACUAGGCAAAAUGGUGCCGUAACUUCGGGAGAAGGCACGCUGAUNGGCCGGGAACUCAAAGGAGACUGCCAGUGAUAAACUGGAGGAAGGUGGGGAUGACGUCAAGUCAUCAUGGCCCUUACGAGUAGGGCUACACACGUGCUACAAUGGCGCAUACAAAGAGAAGCGACCUCGCGAGAGCAAGCGGACCUCAUAAAGUACGUCGUAGUCCGGAUUGGAGUCUGCAACUCGACUCCAUGAAGUCGGAAUCGCUAGUAAUCGUGGAUCAGAAUGCCACGGUGAAUACGUUCCCGGGCCUUGUACACACCGCCCGUCACACCAUGGGAGUGGGUUGCAAAAGAAGUAGGUAGCUUAACCUUCGGGAGGGCGCUUACCACUUUGUGAUUCAUGACUGGGGUGAAGUCGUAACAAGGUAACCGUAGGGGAACCUGCGGUUGGAUCACCUCCUUACCUUAAAGAACCUGCCUUUGUAGUGUCCACACAGAUUGUCUGAUGAAAAGUAAAUAGCAAGGCGUCUUGCGAUUGAGACUGUACGUCCCCUUCGUCUAGAGGCCCAGGACACCGCCCUUUCACGGCGGUAACAGGGGUUCGAAUCCCCUAGGGGACGCCACUUGCUGGUUCGUGAGUGAAAGUCACCUGCCGUCAUAUCUCAAAACUGACUUGCGAGUCAUGUUUGAGAUAUUUGCUCUUUAAAAAUCUGGAUCAAGCUGAAAAUUGAAACGACACACAGCUCAUGUGUGUUCGAGUCUCUCAAAUUUUCGCAAUCAGAAGUGAAACAUCUUCGGGUUGUGAGG
rnacentral:rRNA from 1 species